GAUACUAAAUACCAAAUUAUGUUAUUUAUGAAAUUGUUAUGCCCUGAGUUAUGAUACUGAAAUAAAAAAUUCUGAAUGUUUACUAAAUGAACUGAUUUAGAAGAUUUGGUGAUUGAGUGUGUGCAUGUCUUUAUUAUGGGCACUGCUCAUUUUCCUUAGUGAGUCCGUGAAGCUCACCCCAAUUCACACCCCCAAUGCAGAUUAGUCAAGAUCAAGAGUAAGUUCAAGGUCGAAGGAAGAC
rnacentral:lncRNA from 1 species